rnacentral:rRNA from 1 species
AGAGUUUGAUCCUGGCUCAGGAUGAACGCCGGCGGUGUGCCUAAUACAUGCAAGUCGUACGCACCGGCCCAACUGAUUGAUGGUGCUUGCACCUGAUUGACGUUGGAUCACCAGUGAGUGGCGGACGGGUGAGUAACACGUAGGUAACCUGCCCCGGAGCGGGGGAUAACAUUUGGAAACAGAUGCUAAUACCGCAUAACAACAAAAGCCACAUGGCUUUUGUUUGAAAGAUGGCUUUGGCUAUCACUCUGGGAUGGACCUGCGGUGCAUUAGCUAGUUGGUAAGGUAACGGCUUACCAAGGCGAUGAUGCAUAGCCGAGUUGAGAGACUGAUCGGCCACAAUGGAACUGAGACACGGUCCAUACUCCUACGGGAGGCAGCAGUAGGGAAUCUUCCACAAUGGGCGCAAGCCUGAUGGAGCAACACCGCGUGAGUGAAGAAGGGUUUCGGCUCGUAAAGCUCUGUUGUUGGAGAAGAACGUGCGUGAGAGUAACUGUUCACGCAGUGACGGUAUCCAACCAGAAAGUCACGGCUAACUACGUGCCAGCAGCCGCGGU